rnacentral:rRNA from 1 species
AGAGUUUGAUCCUGCCUUCAGGAUGAACGCUAGCUACAGGCUUAACACAUGCAAGUCGAGGGGCAUCAGAUCGAAAGCUUGCUUUUGAUGCUGGCGACCGGCGCACGGGUGAGUAACGCGUAUCCAACCUUCCCUAUAGUAGAGAAUAGCCCGGCGAAAGUCGGAUUAAUGCUCUAUGUUGUAUUUAGAAGACAUCUGAAGAAUACCAAAGGUUUACCGCUAUAGGAUGGGGAUGCGUCUGAUUAGGUAGUAGGCGGGGUAACGGCCCACCUAGCCGACGAUCAGUAGGGGUUCUGAGAGGAAGGUCCCCCACAUUGGAACUGAGACACGGUCCAAACUCCUACGGGAGGCAGCAGUGAGGAAUAUUGGUCAAUGGACGAAAGUCUGAACCAGCCAAGUAGCGUGCAGGAUGACGGCCCUAUGGGUUGUAAACUGCUUUUAUAUAGGGAUAAAGUCGGGGACGUGUCCCCGUUUGUAGGUACUAUAUGAAUAAGGACCGGGCUAAUUCCGUGCCAGCAGCCCGCGGUAAUACGGAAGGUCCAGGCGUUAUCCGGAUUUAUUGGGUUAAAGGGAGCGCAGGCUGAUGAUUAAGCGUGACGUGAAAUGUAGCCGCUCAACGGCUGAACUGCGUCGCGAACUGGUUAUCUUGAGUGAGUUCGAUGUUGGCGGAAUUCGUGGUGUAGCGGUGAAAUGCUUAGAUAUCACGAAGAACUCCGAUUGCGAAGGCAGCCAACAAGGCCUUUACUGACGCUAAAGCUCGAAGGUGCGGG